CCAGCAGCCGUCACUCUGCAGCUUCACUCCUGUACAAGUCCAAAUUAAAGGACUUUUCUGUUUUACCAUGAAGUCGAUGUUGUUGUCGUCGUUGCAGAAAAACUCCAUGAGCUUCUCAAAUCGACUUUUCUCUCCACAAACCUGGAAGAUAAAACCCAGAUUAAAGCAGGAGCCUGGAGCGUGACGUGCUGAGGACCUUCCUCAUGCUCACACAUGGGGGCAGCAUCGUCACAGUAGAACAGUGCAGUGGACUGAUCAGGCUCCUCUCAGACAUCUGUCACAUCAGUGACUGCGCUAUGAUGAACUAACUGAGCAGACCUGGCUUCACUGGGCCUCCUGAAUAAUGCAGCCCGAAGCACAGGGACACACGACCCGACUCCUGGCUCCGUCUGCAGCUCCAACAAGUGCCACUUACUGGAACACCCGAUGUAAUCAACAGAACCUCAAAACCCACAGGCCUUUUCAUUUCCUGUUUUUCUACUGCCAGUAGAGCAGUUUGAAUGAGUGUUAAGACCAGCAGCUCUGAGCCUCGGCCAGGUUAUUUCUGGUGAUGAUGCUAAUAAUAGACUCUGUGUUUCAGGCCUGGCUGUUGUUGCAGCUACACUACAGCAGCUGCUGCUCUCAGGAAAAGACUGAGCAGAGGUCAGAAGCCACUCCACAAGUGUUUCACCUAUUUCAGUCGGGGACCAACUGGACUGAGCAGCUGAUGGGAGCCGGAGGGUCGGGGUUCCCCAACCUGCCGGGGGCUGAAGCAGGAAGCAGACGCUCCGGUGUCACCUUCUCCCUCAGACACACGGCAGCCAGCAGCUCCAGCACCAGCGCCUUGGUCCUGGGAGGCAGGAACAGAGCUGAGGCCACGCCUCCAUGAGGGAGCAGAUGUUCCAGCUGUGGGACCUUACCUUGGGUUCCUGUUGUUGAGGCUCAGCGCGAUCUCGUUGACACAGGACGGAUGCUUCAUCACCAGAUGGACAAUCCUUCGUGGGUUCAGUACCUGAUAGUUCAUGAUGGCACGUAAGCACAUGAUGCAGAGGUGGACGUCGUCCUUCUGGCUCACCACCCGUGAGUUCCUCUGGGCUUUCCUGUGUUGGAGAGAGUUGAAUCUGCCAGGUUUGUUGCUGGUGUCAAAACUCACCAGAAGCGCGCUGAAGCGCUCCUCCAGCUCCUCCUCGCCGGGCAUUGGCAGUUUGGGCACCGCGGCCGGUUUCUGGGGCCCCGUGGGGAGCGCAGGGGCCGGCCCGCUCCUGGCCUCCCUGGGGUUGGGCAGCUCCAUGCUUCCUGCUGCGUUUCCCAUGGUUGGAAGUCCAGACCCCCACACACACGCUGCUCUGUUCAGGCCACUUACAGUGAGACUCUGUCUGGCUCCGGACGCUGACCUUUACUUAUUUCCAUGAGCCCGCCUGUUGAUCAGAGUCAUUGGUGAUCCAUACUGUCAUGAACGAGCCCCUGCCCCUCGGUAGAAGUCAGCCCUCGCUCAGAUGCCAGUGAAACCCUAUAGCCCGAGGGAGGAGACGGAGCUCAGAGCAGAGGUGACAGGUGAGGAGACGAGUCACAAAGUGCCUCCAGGUGCAGAGCCGUAACGGGUCGUCUGAGGAAGUCUUCCAUCCGCUGCCGGGUGUCCACAGGAGGAAGAGGGAGGAAGAUCCAGCCGGCAGCCGCUCCGCAUCCGACAGGGGGAGAGAGAGAGAGAGAGAGAGAGAGGGAGAGAGAGAGAGAGACAGAGAGAGAGAGAGAGGGAGAGCAGGAGGCACGCGGGAUCUGAGCUCCCUGGGUCCUAAAGCCUCCAGCUUUAAGCGAGGAAGCACCAGGUACAUGUUCAUGUAUGAAGCACUGACUGCUAAGCUUCCAAAAACAAGCUGCAGCAGAAAAUGUGUGAGUCACUAUUGAUGCACUGAUGUUCACUCUAAAUCCUGAAUUAAUUGUAGAAUGUAGCUACACUUAUUGAAAAACUGCCUUGUCCAGUUUGAGUAACGUUCGAUGCAAAGUAGUGCAAAAAAAAAAAAAAAACAAGACAAACUACACUUGUUCUGUUGAUGA